rnacentral:rRNA from 1 species
ACAAGUAGUCAGAGCCCGUUAAUGGGUGAUGGCGUGCCUUUUGUAGAAUGAACCGGCGAGUUACGAUUUGAUGCAAGGUUAAGCAGUAAAUGUGGAGCCGUAGCGAAAGCGAGUCUGAAUAGGGCGUUUAGUAUUUGGUCGUAGACCCGAAACCAGGUGAUCUACCCUUGGUCAGGUUGAAGUUCAGGUAACACUGAAUGGAGGACCGAACCGACUUACGUUGAAAAGUGAGCGGAUGAACUGAGGGUAGCGGAGAAAUUCCAAUCGAACCUGGAGAUAGCUGGUUCUCUCCGAAAUAGCUUUAGGGCUAGCCUCAAGUGAUGAUUAUUGGAGGUAGAGCACUGUUUGGACGAGGGGCCCCUCUCGGGUUACCGAAUUCAGACAAACUCCGAAUGCCAAUUAAUUUAACUUGGGAGUCAGAACAUGGGUGAUAAGGUCCGUGUUCGAAAGGGAAACAGCCCAGACCACCAGCUAAGGUCCCAAAAUAUAUGUUAAGUGGAAAAGGAUGUGGCGUUGCCCAGACAACUAGGAUGUUGGCUUAGAAGCAGCCAUCAUUUAAAGAGUGCGUAAUAGCUCACUAGUCGAGUGACACUGCGCCGAAAAUGUACCGGGGCUAAACAUAUUACCGAAGCUGUGGAUUGUCCUUUGGACAAUGGUAGGAGAGCGUUCUAAGGGCGUUGAAGCAUGAUCGUAAGGACAUGUGGAGCGCUUAGAAGUGAGAAUGCCGGUGUGAGUAGCGAAAGACGGGUG